GCAAGUCGAACGAGAAGAUGGUGCUUGCACUAUCGGACAGUGGCGAACGGGUGAGUAACACGUAGAUGAUCUGCCUAUUGGUUGGGGACAGCAUAGGGAAACCUAUAGUAAUACCGAAUAAGCUCUUACGACUAUGGUUGUUUGAGGAAAGAUGCUUCGGCAUCGCCGAUAGAUGAGUUUGCGUCUGAUUAGCUAGUUGGUGGGGUAAAGGCCUACCAAGGCGACGAUCAGUAGCCGGCCUGAGAGGGUGACC
rnacentral:rRNA from 1 species